CAUACAGUGAAAUUUAAUCUCUUACGGGACAGGAACCAAAACUGAGAAAUCUCGAGGAAUCAAGAAAUCUGGUUACCAAUUAGCUACAGAGGCGCUUUCAAGGUGGGCACCCACGCCCACACCGAUAGAGGAGCUGCUCAAAUGUUAACAUACGUCUCAGUCUACAACCUUCUAAGAUUAUACAAUAAAAUUAUAAUGGUACAAGAAUAAUAA